rnacentral:lncRNA from 1 species
CAACAAUAAAAAAGAGAACGAAAAUGGGUAAGAGGAAACGUUGGAAUUUGUAAUGAGGUGUGCAGGGAGGAUUUUAUUACCAUGUGGUGUGAUGCAAGGGUGGUAUCUAGUAGUGGUAAGGAGGAGGAGGAGGAGGGGAUUUGUAGUAGUAGUGGGGUGGAGGUGGUGAAGGGACUGGAGGAGGAGGAGACUUGUACUUAUAAGGCUUCUUGUGAGGUGAUGGUGGAGGAGAGUGGUAAACUGGGGUGGGGACAUGGGGAGGGUAGGUGGGAACUGGUGGCGGUGGGGAGUGGUAGACUGGGUGGGGGUGAGGGUAGCGGUGCCUGUGCACUGGUGGAGGAGGGGAAGAGUAUUUGUAUGACUUCUUAGGAGGGGGUGGAGGAGAGUGGUAAACUGGGUGUGGGUGAGGGUAAGGCUUGUGCACUGGUGGUGGGGGAGAUGGGUAUUUGUAUGGCUUCUUUGGUGGUGGAGGUGGUGGGGAGUGGUAGAUUGGGUGAGGGUGAGGGUGAGGGUGUGGGUGAGGGUAAUGGUGAGGAGGGGGUGGAGGAGAUUGGUAGACUGGGUGUGGAUGAGGGUAGGGCUUGUGCACUGGUGGUGGUGGAGAUUGGUAGACUGGGUGUGGAUGAGGGUAGGGCUUGUGCACUGGUGGUGGUGGAGAUGGGUAGUGGUAGGGAGGUGGUGGUGAGGAGACUGGUGGAGGUGGAGGAGAGGA